UACGUAGGGUGCAAGCGUUGUCCGGAAUUAUUGGGCGUAAAGAGCUCGUAGGCGGUUUGUCGCGUCUGCUGUGAAAACGCGAGGCUCAACCUCGCGCCUGCAGUGGGUACGGGCAGGCUCGAGUUCGGUAGGGGAGACUGGAAUUCCUGGUGUAGCGGUGAAAUGCGCAGAUAUCAGGAGGAACACCGGUGGCGAAGGCGGGUCUCUGGGCCGAUACUGACGCUGAGGAGCGAAAGCGUGGGGAGCGAACAGG
rnacentral:rRNA from 1 species